CUGGCGGAAAGACAUGCAAACGGCUUUUGACAGUUCUCGCGUGGAGCAAUUUCCACGAAUUUACUCGCGCAGUUUUUGUGAAAAAUCCGGAAAAUAGUGAAGAAAGUUCUUUAAAAACAAGUGCAAAGGUGUGAGAAAACUCUUAAUGAUAGAUCUUAGUGGUGGCAAGUGAAAAAAAUGAUGUGCAUUGUGAGAAAUUGCAAAAACAGCGACCAGCGAAAUCCUCUGGGGGUGUCAUUCCACAGAUUUCCAGUAAUUUUAGAACUGUGCGCAACUCGUCUGAAGCUCUCAGUUGCACUUGUGGACCGAAAUAAAGCCGUAUGCAGCCUCCACACUUCAAUCCAUAAAAUAUUUCACGGAAAAGUGCCUCAAAAGUGAAGCGCUCGAAGUACGUGCGAUCCUUUGCUAAAGACUCCCUACCAAUCGCAUUCAUUGGUACCACAUCUUUUGAUGGAAAGCAAUAUGCAGAACUACUUGAGUGUGACCAUCUCUGUUCUCACAUGUCACGAUAAAGAGCCUAUUUUUAUUUUAGAUGGAAACAGUCAAUGAGAAUGGAUAUGCAACAUCAUACGGUGUAAGAAAUCCAGGCAAAAGACACAUGAAGAUGUCAAUCGUAUUACCAAAGCUGAUUUGAAAUAAGUUUUGAAAGUAUUAUAGAAGCAAAUUCUACUCCAAUGCAACGAAUAAGUUAGAGUUAGCAAUUAUGUUUUAUUAUUUCUUACUAUUUUUAUGCAGAAUUAAGAAAAAUGAUGGACUUGAUCUUUAAUUGUU